rnacentral:rRNA from 1 species
AGCGCACACGGUGGAUGCCUUGGCGGUCAGAGGCGAUGAAGGACGUGGCAGCCUGCGAAAAGUAUCGGGGAGCUGGCAACAAGCUUUGAUCCGGUAAUGUCCGAAUGGGGAAACCCACCCGCUUGCGGGUAUCCUGCAGUGAAUACAUAGCUGCUGGAAGCGAACCUGGUGAACUGAAAUAUCUAAGUAACCAGAGGAAAAGAAAUCAACCGAGAUUCCGUAAGUAGCGACGAGCGAACGCGGACUAGCCCUUAAGCUGAUUUGGUUCUAGGAAAACGCUCUGGAAAGAGCGGCCAUAGAAGGUGAUAGCCCUGUAUCUGAAAGGGCCAUUUCAGUGAAGACGAGUAGGGCGGGGCACGUGAAACCCUGUCUGAACAUGGGGGGACCAUCCUCCAAGGCUAAAUACUACUGACCGACCGAUAGUGAACCAGUACCGUGAGGGAAAGGCGAAAAGAACCCCGGAGAGGGGAGUGAAAUAGAACCUGAAACCGUGUGCGUACAAGCAGUAGGAGCUCCGCAAGGAGUGACUGCGUACCUUUUGUAUAAUGGGUCAGCGACUUACUGUUCGUGGCAAGCUUAACCGUAUAGGGGAGGCGAAGGGAAACCGAGUCUGAUAAGGGCGCAUAGUCGCGGGCAGUAGACCCGAAACCGGGUGAUCUAGUCAUGCCCAGGGUGAAGGUGCGGUAACACGCACUGGAGGCCCGAACCCACUCCCGUUGCAAAGGUAGGGGAUGAGGUGUGAUUAGGAGUGAAAAGCUAAUCGAACCCGGAGAUAGCUGGUUCUCCUCGAAAGCUAUUUAGGUAGCGCCUCAUAUGUAUCCUCUCGGGGGUAGAGCACUGUUAUGGCUAGGGGGUCAUCGCGACUUACCAAACCAUUGCAAACUCCGAAUACCGAGACGGACUGUAUGGGAGACACACGGCGGGUGCUAACGUCCGUCGUGAAAAGGGAAACAACCCAGACCCACAGCUAAGGUCCCAAAUUUUGUGCUAAGUGGAAAACCAUGUGGAAAGGCACAGACAGCCAGGAGGUUGGCUUAGAAGCAGCCACCCUUUAAAGAAAGCGUAAUAGCUCACUGGUCGAGUCGGUCUGCGGGGAAGAUUUAACGGGGCUAAGCACAGAACCGAAGCUUGGGGUGCAUACUUUGUAUGCGCGGUAGAGGAGCGUUCCGUAAGCCGUUGAAGGUGGAUUGAGAAGUCUGCUGGAGGUAUCGGAAGUGCGAAUGCUGACAUGAGUAACGAUAAUGCGGGUGAAAAACCCGCACGCCGAAAGCCCAAGGUUUCCUUGCGCAACGUUAAUCGGCGCAGGGUGAGUCGGCCCCUAAGGCGAGGACGAAAGUCGUAGUCGAUGGGAAGCAGGUUAAUAUUCCUGCACCUCGCGUAAGUGCGAUGGAGGGACGGAGAAGGUUAGGUGUACCAGGCGUUGGUUGUCCUGGGGAAAGGCGGUAGGUUUGGAUCUUUGGCAAAUCCGGGAUCCUCUAAGACCGAGCACCGAGACGAGCCUUUAUGGCGAAGUCACUGAUACCACGCUUCCAGGAAAAGCUCCUAAGCUUCAGCUUACGCAGACCGUACCGUAAACCGACACAGGUGGGUAGGAUGAGAAUUCUCAGGCGCUUGAGAGAACUCGGGUGAAGGAACUAGGCAACAUGGCACCGUAACUUCGGGAGAAGGUGCACCCUUUUUGGUGGCUCGUGCGAGCUAUAGCUGAAGAGGGUCGCAGUAACCAGGCCGCUGCGACUGUUUAUCAAAAACACAGCACUCUGCAAACACGAAAGUGGACGUAUAGGGUGUGACGCCUGCCCGGUGCUGGAAGGUUAAUUGAUGGGGUCAGCCGCAAGGCGAAGCUCUUGAUCGAAGCCCCAGUAAACGGCGGCCGUAACUAUAACGGUCCUAAGGUAGCGAAAUUCCUUGUCGGGUAAGUUCCGACCUGCACGAAUGGCGUAACGACAGCGGCGCUGUCUCCACCCGAGACUCAGUGAAAUUGAAAUCGCUGUGAAGAUGCAGCGUUCCCGUGGCAAGACGGAAAGACCCCGUGAACCUUUACUAUAGCUUUACACUGAACGUUGAGUUCGUCUGUGUAGGAUAGGUGGGAGGCUAUGAAACUGUGGCGCUAGCUGCAGCGGAGCCAUCCUUGAAAUACCACCCUGUCGUGCUUGACGUUCUAACCUGGGCCCAUUAUCUGGGUCGGGGACCGUGUAUGGUGGGUAGUUUGACUGGGGCGGUCUCCUCCUAAAGAGUAACGGAGGAGCUCGAAGGUACGCUCAGCGCGGUCGGACAUCGCGCACUGUGUGCAAAGGCAUAAGCGUGCUUGACUGCAAGAUCGACGGAUCAAGCAGGUAGGAAACUAGGACUUAGUGAUCCGGUGGUUCUGUAUGGAAGGGCCAUCGCUCAACGGAUAAAAGGUACUCCGGGGAUAACAGGCUGAUACCGCCCAAGAGUUCAUAUCGACGGCGGUGUUUGGCACCUCGAUGUCGGCUCAUCACAUCCUGGGGCUGUAGUCGGUCCCAAGGGUAUGGCUGUUCGCCAUUUAAAGUGGUACGCGAGCUGGGUUCAGAACGUCGUGAGACAGUUCGGUCCCUAUCUGCCAUGGGCGUUGGAGAUUUGAGAGGGGCUGCUCCUAGUACGAGAGGACCGGAGUGGACGAACCUCUGGUGUUCCGGUUGUCACGCCAGUGGCAUUGCCGGGUAGCUAUGUUCGGAAGCGAUAACCGCUGAAAGCAUCUAAGCGGGAAGCGCGCCUCAAGAUGAGAUCUCCCGGGGCACAAGCCCCCUGAAGGAACCAUGUAGACUACGUGGUUGAUAGGUCAGGUGUGUAAGUACAGCAAUGUAUUGAGCUAACUGAUACUAAUGAUCCGUGCGGCUUGACC